rnacentral:sRNA from 1 species
GUAUCGAUCGGAAAACAGACGAGACCACGAUCUCAGUUUCAAUCUCCGCUGGUCCUAAUUCGCGUCUGAGAAAACGUAUUUCACGAAACUGCGAAUAACUCAACCAAUUUUAAUCCAAAUCCAAUUCUGUAAACUGGAGGAUAACGAUAAAGGACUUGGGAAUAAUUAUACCA